AUGAACGUUGGCGGCGUGGAUUAGGCAUGCAAGUCGAGCGAGAAACCUCCUUCGGGAGGUGGAAAGCGGCGAAAGGGAGAGUAACGCGUGGAUACCUGCCCUCGGGUUCGGGAUAGCUGCUGGAAACGGCAGGUAAUACCGAAUGAUAUCUCCGGAUCAAAGGUGUGAUUCCGCCCGGGGAUGGGUCCGCGUCCUAUUAGCUAGUUGGUGAGGUAACGGCUCACCAAGGCAACGAUGGGUAGUGGGUGUGAGAGCACGACCCACCUCACUGGGACUGAGACACUGCCCAGACACCUACGGGUGGCUGCAGUCGAGGAUCUUCGGCAAUGGGCGCAAGCCUGACCGAGCGACGCCGCGUGCGGGAUGAAGGCCUUCGGGUUGUAAACCGCUUUCGGAGGGGAUGAAAUGCGUGGGGGUUCUCCCCCACGUUUGACAUAGCCUCUAAAGAAGUACGGGCUAAGUUCGUGCCAGCAGCCGCCGUAAAAC
rnacentral:rRNA from 1 species